UACGUAGGGUGCGAGCGUUGUCCGGAAUUACUGGGCGUAAAGAGCUCGUAGGUGGUUUGUCGCGUUGUUCGUGAAAACUCACAACUCAAUUGUGGGCGUGCGGGCGAUACGGGCAGACUGGAGUACUGCAGGGGAGACUGGAAUUCCUGGUGUAGCGGUGGAAUGCGCAGAUAUCAGGAGGAAUACCGAUGGCGAAGGCGACCUUCUGGACAGUGACUGACGCUGAGACGCGAAAGCGUGGGGAGCAAACAGG
rnacentral:rRNA from 1 species